GAUGAACGCUAGCGACAGGCUUAACACAUGCAAGUCGAGGGGCAGCGGGGUUGUAGCUUGCUAUAACCGCCGGCGACCGGCGCACGGGUGAGCACGCUUCUGAUUAGCUAGUUGGUGGGGUGACGGCUCACCAAGGCGACGAUCAGUAGGGGUUCUGAGAGGAAGGUCCCCCACAUUGGAACUGAGACACGGUCCAAACUCCUACGGGAGGCAGCAGUGAGGAAUAUUGGUCAAUGGACGGAAGUCUGACCCAGCCAUGCCGCGUGCAGGAAGACGGCCCUAUGGGUUGUAAACUGCUUUUUUAGAGGAAUAAUAAGUCUCACGUGUGGGACGAUGAAUGUACUUUAAGAAUAAGGAUCGGCUAACUCCGUG
rnacentral:rRNA from 1 species